GCGUUGGUGGUAUAGUGGUGAGC
rnacentral:piRNA from 4 species